rnacentral:lncRNA from 1 species
AUGAUUGUUGAUACAACUUUGGUGAUGUUUCCAUUUUAUUUCCUGUCUGGCAUGAACAUGGCUGUCUAGAACUGGGCAACCAUGCAAUAUUUCUACCUGGAGCAGCAUCGACCCAUUUUCCUGAUGAGAAACUGUGAAUUUCCCAUCUGGCAUGAACACGGCUGUCUAGGACUUGGUCCCCAUGUAAUCUUCCAAUCUAGAACAGCAUCAGCCCAUUUUUCUGAUGAGAAACUUUGUUUAGGAUGUGGCUCUCUAGAAUUUGGCAACCAUGUAAUCUUCCAAUCUGGAGCAGCACUGAUCCAUUUUCCUGAUGAGAAACUGAGUUUAGCAUGUGGCUCUCUAGAACUUGGCAACCAUGUAAUCUUCCUAUCUGGAGCAGCACCGAACAAUUUUCCUGAAGCGAAACUGUGUUUAGCAUGUGGCUCUCUAGAACUUGGCAACCAUGUAAUCUUCCUAUCUGGAGCAGCACCGAACAAUUUUCCUGAAGCGAAACUGUGGUGAGUAUCGUUUAUAUCGUGAACCAAAGAGCUAUGAAUAUUGAUACAAAUAUGGUGGU